GGCACUAAUAUGUGGUGGCACUGCUGUCUGCCUGUCACACGGAGGGAAACACGCUGCCAGGAGGAGCUUCUCUAUCUGCAUCUGGAUUUACUCUUUCUAUUCUGUUCCAUUUUUCUGUUCUAAGCUCAGACUGAGGAUGUUCCUACAGCGUCUGAAUUUGUCUGAAAGCCUUUUCUUCAUGACACAAUAUGGACAGCUCUACAGCGGUUCAGAACAGGAAGACAGGAGGAACAAAGAGAGCACUCAUUUGCUUUUGUAACAUCUCUCGACCCCAGGUGGCAGGACUUCAAUGACAAAGGCCACUCUGAAAGCAAACGGCACGAUGAUUUGUCGCGUGCAGCUGUGCAGCCGGCUUGCGACACUGCGGGGGCAGGCCUGGUGGAUUGUCAGUAGCGCAGCCAUCACCCACGCAGGUGCAGACGCCGUCUACGCGUAGAUUAAAAGUAGCUCCAAUGGAUUCGCACUCUAUAUGUUGCAGGGCUGAAGGGGAGACUGUGACACCACGGACGUGCAGCCACACCAAUGGGCAGGCGGCACACGAGCUGUGGUCAGUGCGAGUUCUUCUGGAUAAAGGUGCCAGCCUUACACUGCACCACCUUCCCUUUGAGCUUAUCUUCAUGACGCAGGGCAGGCGCUGGAUGUUCCAGCGCCUUGGGCAAGAUGAUUGUUAUAUUAAAAACAUUUCAGUAGCA